AUUUUCCAACCAGAGUUAAAUUUGCUAUGAGGAUGGUUAAUCCACCCUUACUAAUUUGUAUACAGUUUUUUUAUUUAAAAACACUCUACAAACCCUAAGGGCUCCAAUGUGCUCUUAAUGUGUGGUAUAUUUUACUUUGAGUUGUAUGCAUUAGCAGUUUCAGUUAAAGAUGGCAUCGAGACUUGCUGUCGAUCAAGGAGUAUAGGAUCUGGUAACACAGUUGCUCAUCCUAAAAAAGGGCUUUGAAUGGUUGGAGAAGAUGCUCAGACAUAUGUGUGGUUAUCUGCAAGCUACGGAUCAUGUAAGAGCCCACGAUCUCUCUGUGAAAGAGUGGCGGCAGGAAGUGAGGGAUAUCGUGGAGCACAAGGAAGAUGAAUUUCUCAGAUUGUUGCCCUCGUGCGAAAGGGGCGAUCUGGGAGAAGAACAUCAAAUUACACAAGAAUUUGGGGCAUCCACAUGGAGGGAGCCCAAUUUGAAAUUUCAAACUGCCGAAAAUAACAUAUGAGCAUAGAUGGUGGGCAUUUAAGGCUGCAGUUUUGGGGUGAGGGGGGGCUGUUUUUGGAGCCAGGGAUUUUUUCUGGAGGAAUAAAAGAGGAACCUCCAGAUUUUUGAAAAGAGGGAAAAAUGGGGAGUAGUUUUGAUUUAAGGGUGGAACAGCACUUAUUUGUUGCAGGUGUAGGGAAGUAUUGACAGCAGCAUGUUGGCCGGGAGUGCAUGUUUCAGAGUUUUGGGGAGUUCAGUUGAAGAUUUGCAGGUUGGAGGGGUAGGAAUUCACAGAAGAGAAGUCUUUUCAUGGAGAUCGUUUAUGCGUCUCUUCUUGCUGUUGUUUUUCUAUUGAGAUCAGAUUUAAAUCAGUUUGUUAGCUGUAUUUAUCAGUAAUAAUGGAUUUCUGAGUUUAAUGUAUCAUUUUGGUGAAGUUCAAUGAGAAAAACAGAGUUUUUCCAAAUCAGAAUUUUAAUUCUGUUUCAUAACAGUUACUUUGCAUUUGGUGUUGUUAUUUUAGAUAGAUGGUUUGUAUUUAAUCCUAUCUUACAUCACAUUCCGAGAGAAAAUAAAUGUUGUAUCAUCUUCACCAAGUUUAUCUUCGUUGUUUCUCUGUGCCAAGUUGGAUAUGUGGUUUGGUGAGUCUCACAUAACUUACAUUAUGUGAGUCAAGGAUUAUUAAUUGCGUUAGAUCCCUUUAUUCAUAAUUCUUAUGUGAAGAUUUUCACUGUAUUAAAAUUUUAUAGUUGUAUUUAAGACUUAGUUACAUGCAAACAAGAGCAGCUAAGCACCCAGUUCCCACCUUAGAUUGAAAAGAGUGGUGACUAAUAAUGGUAAAAUAGAAGCAGCAAGUUUAUUGUAAAAUCUUAAAAAAUGGUAAUAGAACAAACUUUUACUGUGAAAGAGAUGUACUUUUUUUAUGAACUUAAAGUGCACGUCUAAUGUCAAAUUUUGUUUGUCCAACAUACACCAAUUC